rnacentral:lncRNA from 1 species
AAUAUAUCAAGCAUUCGAUCCUUCAUUUUCAAAGCAUAUAUCUAAACUUUUCGAAAGUGAUCAUCAAUAAAAGUCAUGAAGUAAGAGCAUCCAUCAAGAGUUUAUCUCUAAUAGAACUAUGAACAAGAUCCAAUGCACCAAUUUUUCUUUUAGAGAAAAAGUUCUAAAAAGAAAUUUAGAUUUACUUACCCAUCAGGCAGCUUUCACGUAUCUUCAAUCCAGACUAUC